AUAAAUAUAUAUGAUUUACUAUAAUAUAGUAAGUUAUAAGUGGAUAGUGUGUAUAUGUAUAUAUAAUUAUGUAUACAUUUGUCUCUGGGUUAGUUACAUUCCAUCCCCCUUUCGCUGUUAGACAUCAUGCCUUAUCUUAGGUUUUGUUUACAUAAGUCGCAUUCCUUUGCACAGACUUUGGAUGAAUAGAGUAAUAGAGAGAGAAAUAUUGUGUCUGUCUUAGCCUUGUAAUACAAAAUGGAGUCACCUCUGUUCCGAGAGUGACUGUCAGUAUACACUUUUCAUUUCUGUCUUAACACAAAAUGUCUGCCGAUAUAAAUAUACUGACAGUAUCUAUUUCCACUUUUUCUAUCUUGCUUUGUAUUAAAAUGGAAUUCUGCUUGUAGUUUUGCUGUUUGCGGCUAGUUUCUCUUUCAUCAUAUUACAUUCUUUAUCUAAGAUAGCUAGCUGGUG